rnacentral:piRNA from 1 species
UAGAAAGUUCUUCAGAUUUCUCAAAUGG